ACAGAAGGAAUUCCAGGGUGGGCCUGAGCAGAAGGGCCUGCGGGGGGGGCAAGGGAGAGACGAGGCCGAUUCUCUGGCCGCCCGCGCCUGCCGUUGUGGUGGGCCCUGAACCCUCAGCCACUCCACUCUUACCAGGGCUGGGUGGGCUCUCGAGCAAGGAAGGCCGGCAGGGCUCUGGGCAGGAUCCGGACUUGGAAACGUCUGCAAAUAGUUUCCUGAGCUCAGAAAACAGUCUUGGGUGCGAAUCCCCUAGGGGCAGAGGGUUCCUACCUUGUAGGAUCUUUCCUGGAUGUACAGCUCUGGUGGGGAGUCCCUUCUGGAGAGGCCUGGGACAGGGCCCGGGCCCGGGACAGGGCAGGGAGAGUGCCAGGCCUUCCUGCCUCCCCGCGGGCAGGCCCUGCCCUCCACUUGCCUCUGCUCUCAGCUGGGGCAGUGAGGCCCGGGGCUUCAGCCGGUCCGUGGGCACAGUCCCCUGCUCUCUCUGGGCAGGUGCAUUCUCUGAUAAACCAGGCCCGUGGGGGCGUCCUGGGAAGGCCGUUGAAGCAGGAACAGCCCCUCGAAUGCAAACCGGCAGAUCACCUGUCACCAGGGCAUUCCGAGCAGAGCCUGGCACCCUUCCCGCUGACCCAGCACAGUCUGCAGCCCUGAAAAGAGAAACAAAAUGAGGUGUUCUAUUGCCUGCAAAGCUUUUGAGUUCCUUCUCUUGCUGGUGUCUUGUCCACACUCCUACUCGAAGACAGUGAUGGGGAGACAGCAUCUGCCCUGGGCUUUGGGGCAAAGCAACAGAAGGAGGGCACAGCAUCGGGUGGGGAGGACCAGCCGUAGGCUGGGUGGGAUCCAGAGCCCCAGUCUCUCAGCUACAACCGUCACUGGCACAGGGAGGGGCCUGGGUACACUCAUCCUCUUCCACCUGUGACAGACGUAGGUGGAAUAUUCCAGACCCAGACUCCCUGGAGCCGCCUCCUGUGAGCCUCUCCACCACAUGCCUGAGACGUUCACACUAAUAUCUCAAAGCUGGGGGUUCUGGUGGCACCUGCUCUGAAUCCAGGGACACUGGGCAUAGAAGGGGCUGUCUCCUCCCCGAGGCAAAACCCCCCGCUGCCCAGCCAGCCCAGGCCAGGCCGGAAGAUAUAGCCUGGCAGGGCCCACGAUGCCUCUCAGCCUCCAUGCAGCUUUCCCUGGGAGCUAAAAGGAACGGAGCUCACAGUUUGGUGGUGGAGACAGGCAGAUGUUGAGCAUGUGACAAAGCCGCGGGACAGACUCCCAGAGGAGCAGGGCAAGCGCAGAGGGAAGGCUUCCCACGGAGCCAGGGUCUGGGCAGGGAGAGGGAGACGCUCGGCUCACGCCCAAAUGUGAACGGGCACCGAAGACUCACCAGGACAAUUCCAUUUUAACGUCAUGUUUUGAAAACUCCAAAUUGAUGUAAAAAAAAAAAAAAAAUCCAUGGUGAAUAAAAUGUCAAAAAUUUAAA